rnacentral:lncRNA from 10 species
GCCAGUGCCUUGUCCUCGGAUGCCCAGCCUCCAGAACAGCAUUGCUGCUUCCGGUGAGCUUCAACUGUGGUGAAGAAAGAAACCCACAUACCUAACAACAACAUAAGAGAGAAAGAAAAAAAUACAUUUAGCAAAGGUACAAGCAACAUGUUACAUGAUCACUGAGGAAGAAGCAGGUGUGUUAAAGUGUAAAAAGGAAGCUGUGAAAGAGAUAUCAAAAAUAGGAGGAAGAGAGAGAGAGAAAAUGAAAGAAGAUGUGUAAUCCUGGGCUCUAGCUACAUGGCCUCUGAUGUGGGCAGCAAACUGGAACAACAUGAACCCUCCGCAGAAGAGGAGAAAGAGAAGGGAUUGGUCUUACUGUCUCAGCAGU